rnacentral:rRNA from 1 species
UCCUGCUCAGGACGAACGCUGGCGGCGUGCCUAAUACAUGCAAGUCGUACGCUUCUUUUUCCACCGGAGCUUGCUCCACCGGAAAAAGAGGAGUGGCGAACGGGUGAGUAACACGUGGGUAACCUGCCCAUCAGAAGGGGAUAACACUUGGAAACAGGUGCUAAUACCGUAUAACAAUCGAAACCGCAUGGUUUUGAUUUGAAAGGCGCUUUCGGGUGUCGCUGAUGGAUGGACCCGCGGUGCAUUAGCUAGUUGGUGAGGUAACGGCUCACCAAGGCCACGAUGCAUAGCCGACCUGAGAGGGUGAUCGGCCACAUUGGGACUGAGACACGGCCCAAACUCCUACGGGAGGCAGCAGUAGGGAAUCUUCGGCAAUGGACGAAAGUCUGACCGAGCAACGCCGCGUGAGUGAAGAAGGUUUUCGGAUCGUAAAACUCUGUUGUUAGAGAAGAAUAAGGAUGAGAGUAACUGUUCAUCCCUUGACGGUAUCUAACCAGAAAGCCACGGCUA